UCUUAAUGUUGAGAUACUUUUUAAAUCUUAUAAACCCAGAUCUCUACAAUCAAAAGUCCGUAAACCAUAAGUUUGUUUCAUAGAUGAAAUCUCGAUAAAGGUUUCGUCUGCAAUCUUUUUCGGCAAACAAUUGAUUUGUCAUUCCAUCUUGUUUGAAAAACAAAUUGAAUGCCCAAUAACUUAAAGUUCAGACCACCUGAAAAUAAUUUAAAAAAUUUUUGGUCAUUACAACAUAGAUGUUGACAAGUUUUUGGGCAAUGCUUGUUUUCUACAAAAACAUUUAAACGAUUGUAAAAUAUUUCCAUUCAA